rnacentral:tRNA from 3 species
GGGCGUUUAGCUCAGCUGGGAGAGCGCUACCCUUACAAGGUAGAUGUCGCAGGUUCGAUCCCUGCAACGCCCACAA